rnacentral:sRNA from 1 species
UGUAUGCUGCACAAAAGCUAUGAGUCUUCUGCCUGGGGAACCCCCGCAAAAAUUUCCAACAGGGGUCUGUGGACACUUGCUAGUGGGGACAAUCGGAUUACUUCUAGGUAGAUCUAGUUUAAAUUUAAAAGGAGUGCAAGUACAUACAGGAGUCACUGAUUCAGAUUACAAUGGGAAAUUCAAAUUGUUAUAGCUACUUCUGUUCCCUGGAAAUCACAACUCCUGAUUGUGCCAUAUGUGGAAAUGGAGAAAAGUGAAAUUAAACGAACAGGAGGAUUUGGAAGCACAAAUAAACAAGGCAAAGCAGCUUACUGGGUGAAUCAAAGUACUGAUAAAUGUGCUACCUGUGAAAUAACUAUUCAGGGAAAGAAAUUUAAAGGAUUGGUAGAUACAGAAGCAGACAUUUCAAUCAUUUCUCUACACCACUGGCUGUCCGCAUGGCCAAUUCAACCCACUCAAUUUAACAGAGUUGGAGUUGGUAAAGCCCUGAAGUAUAUCAAAGUAGCUAUAUUUUACAUUGUGAAGGGCCCAAUGGACAACCUGGGACUAUUCGAUCAAUUGUAACUUCUGUACCUAUAAAUUAAUGGGGGAGAGAUUUACUACAGCAAUGGGGAGCACAAGUUCUAAUUCCAGAGCAAUUAUAUAGCCCUGAAAGUCAACAUAUGAUGCAUGAAAUGGGGUAUGUCCCUGGUAUUGGACUAGGAAAAAAUUUGCAGGGUUUGAAGGAACUGCUCCAAGCAGAAAGACAAAGUUCCCACCAAGGUUUAGGAUAUCAUUUUUGAUGGUGGCCAUUGUUAAGCCUCCAGAAACUAUACCUUUAAAAUGGUUAACAGAUAAGCCAAUUUGGAUAGAACAAUGGCAGCUAAGUAAAGAAAAACUGGAGGCUUUAGAGGACUUAGUUACUGAACAAUUAGAAAAAGGACACAUAGCUCCAACAUUUCCCCCUUGGAAUUCUCCAGUUCUCAUAAUUAAGAAAAAAUCAGGUAAACAGAGAAUGUUAACUGACUUAAGAGCCAUUAAUUCAGUUAUAUAACCUAUGGGGACGUUACAGCCAUAUGCAACUGAAUCUAGAAUUAUUGACUUUAAAUUUUUUGAGCCUGCCUAAAGGCCAGAUGCUAUCAGCAGCUGAACAAUAUCUACAGAAACCAGCUGCAAAGACAGAAGCAGAACAACUGGUUUGGUGGAGAGAGCCGAUAACGAAAAGUUGGGAAAUAGGUGAAAUAAUAACUUGGGGUAGAGGUUAUGCUUGUGUUUCUCCAGGACCAAAUCAACAGCCAAUCUGGGUGCCAUUGAGAUAUCUAAAGCGUUACUAUGAGCCGGAUACCCAGGAAGAGGUUUUGGGAGGAUCCCAAAGACUCCCUGGUUGCAGCCAUGUCAAGACUGAUGCUGAGGGGGACCCCAACUGUCACGAGCAACACCUGUUGAACACAGCCACCUACCUGGGGACAGAUCAAGAAGCUGUCACAGAUGGUGGAGAAAAACCUGAGAAAAGCGGGACAACCAGUCACAAUGAGUAAUUUAAUGAUAGCUAUGAUAGCAGUGAUCACCAUUGUCAUGAGUAUUCCUUCAACAAGGGCUGACACAGAGAACAAUUACACUUAUUGGGCAUAUUUAUCAAUCUUGGCUGGCAACAAUGCCUGGAUGUGAUCACUCUAUGACACAGUUACACGUGCUUUCUGGUCUCAGUAUUUAUCAUAAUAAUCUGCUCCUAUAAUUGAGGCAUACUGCCCUCAAAAACCUACUUAUAAACAGGAUUAGACCUGGUCAGAAAAAAUGAACGUACUUCUUUGGGAAGAUUGCAUUGCAGAACAGGCAAGGUGCUAUGCAAUGAUUCCUAUGGAGUCGUUAUUGAUUGGUCCCCUAAGGGGAUGUUUAGCUUGAAUUGCACCUCUCAGUCUGCCUGCCACGGCCACACUAUGUUCAGCUGGUCUGAACAAAAUGGUCAGAUGGUAGAAAUGAUAAGUUAUCUGGAAACAUGGUGGUAUAGUGGCACCUCAACCUCAAAUGAUAUGGCCCACUGUAGGAGCUAAACAUAAGGAUUUGUGGAAACUAUUAAUGGCUCUUAGUAAGAUCAAAAUUUGGGAAAGGAUAAAAAAGCAUCUAGAAGGACACUCUAGAAACUUGGAUAUUGCAAAAUUAAAAGAACAAAUAUUUAAAGCAUCCCAGGCACACCUGACCUUAAUGCCAGGAACUGGAGUGCUUGGAGGAGCUGCAGAUGGAUUAGCAGCUAUUAACCCAUUAAAAUAGAUAAAAACAC